UUCAUUGUGAUUUCUUUUAUUUUUUUUAGCAAGUUUAAAAUGGAACAACCUUCUCCGGCUCUUUAGAAGGACUUUUCUCAUUGUCCCCGCUCCAGAAGGGUGUGCCCAAAUUCUAAACGACCAGCUGGUGGUUGGGAAUUCAUACGUUGGUUCGCAAGAAACCUCGUCUCUGCCCAAAGCGGCGCAUGUUCAGGCUGUGGGCAAAGAUUCCGCCCCGGUCCCAGCAACAAUGGAAGUCAUUGCGGGUUUUUCUGAAAGGACCGGAAUGAAAAUGAACUGGGCCCAAAAAUGUCUUGAAGACAACAGCUGGGAUGUAGAAAAAGCAGCAGAAAUAUUUGCAGCUCUUAAGGAUAAAGGAACCGUGCCAAGGGAGGCCUUUUCUGACCCGCAGGACGCGUUUGGCAUGAAGGGCUAAACGCGCAAAACGCUUUACCGCACCCAGAGAGUUUUCACACUUUAUAUAAUUUGUACUUCGCGGAGUUAACUUUCAUUUUGGAUCAUGUUGUAAAUGUUUACUAUAGUUUUUUGUAAUUUUGUUAAUUUAUAUAAUAACAGUAAUAUCGUUCAAGAUAACAUGUUUUAUUGUUUUGUUGUGAAAUUUCCCAGGAAUAACGCACAGUGGUUACAAUUCGUGAUA